rnacentral:rRNA from 1 species
CCUACGGGUGGCAGCAGUGGGGAAUAUUGGGCAAUGGAGGAAACUCUGACCCAGCAACGCCGCGUGAAGGAUGAAGGUUUUCGGAUUGUAAACUUCUGUCGCGAGGGAUGAAGAAUGACGGUACCUCGUAAGAAAGCCCCGGCAAACUACGUGCCAGCAGCCGCGGUAAUACGUAGGGGGCGAGCGUUGUCCGGAAUGACUGGGCGUAAAGGGAGUGUAGGCGGCAUAUUAAGUUAUGUGUGAAAGCCCGCGGCUCAACCGCGGAAUUGCACAUAAAACUGGUAAGCUGGAGUGCAGGAGAGGUAAGUGGAAUUCCCGGUGUAGCGGUGAAAUGCUUAGAGAUCAUACAGAACACCGAUUGCGAAGGCAGCUUACCAAGCUACUUCUGACGUUGAGGCACGAAAGCGUGGGGAGCAAACAGGAUUAGAUACCCCUGUAGUC